rnacentral:rRNA from 1 species
GCACGAGCGCACCCCUUUCCUUAGUUGCCAGCACAUUAUGGUGGGGACUCUAAGGAUACUGCCUGGGAUAACCAGAGAGAAAGGUGGGGAUGAUGUCAAGUCAGUAUGUCCCUUAUGUCCAGGGCUACACACGUGUUACAAUGGCUAGUACAAAGGGUUGCCAACCCGCGAGGGGGAGCCAAUCCCAAAAAACUAGCCCCAGUUCAGAUUGGAGUCUGCAACUCGACUCCAUGAAGGAGGAAUCGCUAGUAAUCGCGGAUCAGCACGCCACGGUGAAUACGUUCCCGGGUCUUGUACACACCGCCCGUCACGCCAUGGAAGUCAGCAGUACCCAAAGCAGGUCGCCUAACCUUCGGGAGGGAGCCUUUUAAGGUAAGGCUGGUAACUGGAGCGAAGUCGUAACAAGGUAGCCGUACCGGAAGGUGCGGCUGGAUCA